UCUGCCAGAGAAAACCAAAACAAAACCAGCGCUGAGACGCCGCGGCCGCCACCGCCGGGGCGCAACCGGCCGCGGCGGGACCGGGGCUGCUGCGGCGGGGAGCGCGGUCCGGCAAAGCCCGGCCCAGCCCGGCAGAGCCCAGCACAGCCCGGUUCGGCACAACCUGGCCCAACCCGGCCCACUGCCGCUCUCCUCAGCGGGAGCUACCGCGGGGACAAGCGCAGCCCGCCAGCCUUUUAUCUUCCUGCCCACCUGGCUUGGGGAAGCUCAACAGAGACUUUGGGUCGUUUAGUUGGUUGUUUUUUGUUUUGUUUUGUUUUGUUUUUCCCCACGAACUUGUUUCCUGGAUGGGCAACGACAUUUAACAAGUUUUCCCCUUCAAUGAGGAAAGCCCAUUUUCCUACAACCCGGCUCUUCGUUGCUAAUUCCUCGCUCGCUCUUAGCAGCUGGAGGAAUCUCACACUGGGCACCAUAUGCUUCGCAGUAAUUUUAAAAGCAGGUAUCAGGUAAUUAGCAUUUUCCUCUUUGAAGUAAAAAUACACUUGCUACAUAUUAUCGCGGGGCCCCUUCACCCCCGGCGCUGGCAGGCAGCUCAGGACGGGGCCGCCCCGCUUUUCCCAAAGGGAUUUUUCUCUCGCCGCUCCCCGGCCCGGCGGAGCCCCCGGCCCCGUCCGCCGCAGCCCCCCGGGGCCGGACCGCAGCCUCCGGCUCUCCAGCCAGACCGUAAGGGCUUGUCACUGUCAGUCAAGCCCCAGCCCUCCCCGCCUCCCUCAUUAAGAAGGUAAACAAUGAAAAGCGGGAGCGGUAGAUGAUGAGGAAGAUAGCAGGACAAAUGAGGAGCGGGAGGGAAAGAGGACACCGGCUCCAAAAAAAAAAACCACCGGGAGAAGCCAUCGCCACCGGCUCGGCGGUGUCCUCCUCAUCUUCCUCCUCCUCCUCCCUGGCCGCGCUUCCCGAAGGCGUUCGGGAGAAAGGGUGCAGUCCUUUUGGCUUUCUCCCUGCGCUCUCCAUUGCCCUGGGCGAUCAUGUUAAAACUCACAUGGCUGGUGCUUAUUCAGAUAACCCGAACAAUGCUCACCACCGGUUACCAUGUGAAUCUUCACAAACCCCGCAAGAAUGUGGUGGUUCAAAUCCCCCUGACCCCCCUCCAAAGCCAAAUUUAUUCAAGACAGUAAACUGCUCAGAAGCUUUAUGAAAGCAAGUGGUGCUAGAGGGAAUUCAGCCUUGUAUUUACAAAUUAAAAAUUAGAUGCAUCAUCAUGCAAUGAAGGUUGGAAGAGCGGCAGAAAAGCAGGAAUGUGUAACCACUUUUAUCGCGCCCUCGCCUUCUGCCUGGGCACACGGGCUCAUGAGUGGAUUCGGGGUCCACACGUGCAGGGAAAACCCACGGUGACAUGUGUGUGCAGACACGCUCUGGAGAGGCAAACAUGCACGGUGGUGUUUCGCAAGUGGGGAGGGAUUUGGUCUGGUGGGCCACUGCCCAAACUUCCCAGGAGUUUUUCUUGUUCUUUUUCUCCUUCGUUUUUCUCUUUCUUUGUCAAGUGCAUUGCUUCCCCUCCAUCAUUGUUAAGGAAAUAAUUUUCCAGGUGUACACAAACUAGAAUUGAAGCUACCUGCCAAAAUUACUGGUAAUCUAAGCCAUUUCUCCUGCCACAAAGCUGCUUGAAUUUAGGUAGCAGCCUUUUAGAUGCGAAUAUUCAAUGCGGUCUCUUGAUUUCCACUGCUGCUUGCCCUUUUGCUCCUUUUGGGGAGGGUUACUUCAGUUCGACCCGUUUAAAACACACCACUCUGCACCUCUGCAAGUCAGAGCUUCCCAAAAUUGGAGGGUUUUACCCACAGAAGUAAAGCCACUGCAUGUGCAAUGCAAUCUCAGCAUGACAAACCAGUCUUGCAAAGGGACAAACCCAGCUUGCGAGGGGCAGCAGCAGUGAGCCGGGCAGAAAAGGAGAGAGACGUGGCAGAGAAUUUCAUGGGUGUUUCCUCUCCCUAGACAUGUCCCCCAACUUUCAGGUUAACUUUCUCCCUGCUUCUGCUGAUAUUGUGCUGAGACUUGGUCUCCCCAGCACAUCUGGGCACAUGAAGUUCUAGAUAAAAAGGAGCUUGAGAAACCCCAUCUCUACCUGGACUCUACUUAAUUUUUUUUUGCAGUUUUGAUGGUUUUCACUUAGUUGAAAAGCUCUUAUUUUUACAGCUCCCCCCCCCAUCCUUUAUCCCCUUCUCCAGUUCCAGCAGCAAUUUUAGCUUUUGAAACAGCAAACAUCAGUCAAAAUAUUUCGGCACAGCUUUCGCUCAGUCCUUCACUGCUGUUUUUCUCUGUUAAGUCUCUUUCUACAACCUUUAGUUAUUGUUGCCCCAUCUUAUAGGCCUUGUAGGGUAAAUAACAUCAUAUUAGGACUUCAUGGAACAAAACUGGUGUGUUUUGUUUUUUUUUUGUUUCUGUGUUUUCUUAUUAUUAGUGUUUGAAAUAUGCCACAAGAAAACUUGCUGGCAGAAUAUUCCCUUGCAUUUUUACUUUGUUCCCUAGAAAAGGAGUCUGACCGCCCCCGCCCCCCCGAAAUAUAGUAAAAUAGUAAUUGGUUAAGAGAGGAACCAGUGCAAAGUAUUUAAGUAACAUUGUAUAUGUUAUUACAUUGCAGUUUUGUUUUAUCCAACCAAAUACUGCCAAGCAGCAGUUUCAGGAAGCAUCCCUAUGUUUAAAAAAGCAACUGUGUUCAAGUUUGACUCCUACCUGUUGUGCCUUUUAAGCUAGGAUUACCUAUAACACCUGUCACAUAUAGUUACUCAGGCUGACUGCAGCUCUGGGAAGCCACAAUAUGGGCUGUGAUUAAUUUGAAGAUUUCAGAAUAAUACUGUUAUAAAAGCUACACUCCGGACAAAAAUAGGAUUAAGCUCUGAGGCAGUAUAUGAGCUAAAAGUGUUGAAAGCUAAAGCCCCCCAUGCCACUGCUCAAGACAGGCAGUUUAAAAUGACAGAGUUUGCUAAGUUCACGUUAAAGUAGAAAUGUUUUCAAUUAUUCAUUUUCAUUGACUUCAUAUUGUCUUUCCCCCCCCGCACUACUUCAACUGAUAAUUACUUUGAGCAAACAGGCGGCCGGUUCCCAUAGAAAUGCUUUAAUAGAAAUGGUCGAAAGUUCUUGUAGUAAAACCUUCAACCUCGCCACUAUAAUAAAUAAGCCCAGCACUUUGAUGAAAAUUAACACUAGUUUUGUAAAGAGCACAUUGGGGGAUUGCAGUUAGGUCUUAUCUUUAGUUCCAGUCAACUAGCAAUCCUGAAAGAGUUUGCAUCAUCAUCAGAGCAGGCCAUUUGAUAGGAUUCUGCUGCUGAACCUAAUCAAUCUAUGGAAUACUGUGGCUGUGCGGUGUAACAAAGCUAAAAUAGAUUUACAAAUGGGGUUUUAGAGGAUAAGCUCCUCCACAGGAUUACAUAUUGAUUUUAAAUAUAAAAAGCUUAUCAUAUAAACCAUAACUACAAAAAUAGUGAACCUAUGCAUAAAUCCUUUUAGAAGAGCACCCACUUCAAACUAUAAGCCAAGAAUAAAUCAAGAUGUACAAAAUCCAAAAGAAGAUCCAUUUCUUGGGCAGAAAAUGAACACACCACCCCAAGGUGUGCAAAAAUGAACUUAUCUUUUCUAAGGAGGCAUUAAAUCUCGAAUGAAAAAAAAUAGAAAGGAGCGAAAGGAAACGUAGCUGAAAGUAAGGCAUCCUGCCACUCGGCCACUGUGUGGUAAAAAUCAGGCUCUGAAAGGCAGCACCUUGCUCACACGAGCCAGCCUGCUCCCGAGCAGACAGCCAGAGCGCCUUCCCGUGUGUGCAGCUUAAAACAAACCCAGUAACCUAUAUUUUCUUUGGCCUAUUAGGCAAGGAUGUCCGGCCUUUCUUGUUCGGAGCAGUCUCGGCAGCGGGAAGAGAGGAACACUUUCUAGCUAGCAGAAGGCAGCGCGUUACCUCUUCCUUAUCUCUACGGCUAAACGGGGGGAGGAAGAAUGACCAUCCUCAGUCAUUCAUGUGUUCCGCGUGAAGUGCCGGAACACUCCAAAAGGCUAUUCAGCUGCGUAUGCCUCCAUUUUAGUGGCUGGCUAAGAGGACACCAUCUCCACAUCACUGAGCAUCGGAACGGUCAGCACCUCCAGACGGCAGCGCUGCCCACACGCUGCCUGCGCAGGCAAGCGGGCCGGCCGCCAAUACACCGCCUCUAUCUGCAAUCAGCAGGCUGUUACCUUUUGCAAGGCUCUCUCUCUCUCUUCCCACCCCCCCCCGCCACUUCCUUGUCAUCAACUAGCUAAGUAAAUUGGUUGAUAGAUUUUUAAACAGCACAGUCACGCGUGGAAGAGUUAGAGCAAUUUACCAAAACAGUAAUUAUCACCUUUCAAAGACUUUUUUUUUUUUUAAGUUCCAGUUUGGGUUGCUGUGUUCUGCCUUUCUUUUAGACAAACAAACCAGUCCUGUCCUGUUAUAUUAUAUACAUAUGCAUAUAUAUAUAUAUAUAUAUAUAUAUUUUUUUUUUUUUUUUUACUGCCUAUAUAUUUCAGGUUUGGAAUUGGUGCUGGUGUGAGAUCUGUCUUUUCAACUCUUUCACGGAGCCCAAGUGCUCAUUAGCAAUCGGCUAAAUGGCCUCGGAACAGACAGUGCUGAGCUGUUCGGGCAGCCCUGCUUCAGGGAAAUCGCAUUACAUAUAAAUGGUGUGGUUUUACUGGUGCAUCCUAAAAGUGCAUCUUUGCACCCCAGUGUAUGUCGGACACAGAAAGUAACACAGCACUCAUGCACACAUCGAGAGCGAGGUGUUACAGACGUGCAUUUUGACAUUUCACAGGCAUUUCCUUGGGAGAGUUUCUCCUUUAAUAUGUUUUUUAAGUAAAAGCAGAUAGCUGCUAAAACUUCUCACAGACUAAUAAUUUAACUGAGAGUUAAAAUGCUGAAUGCAGACUACGUUGUAUAAAUAAAAAACAAAACCGAAAUUCUCCAGCACUUAAGUUUUCUCUCUAAAGCCCUGUUUACUGUAUCACCAGCAGAAUAAAAACACCCGCUCCCCAAAAAAGAAAAAAAAAAAAAAAGAGGGUUUUGGCAUCUCUCUCGAACUUAGAAAAAGGAAAUUUAAAAAGGACAGAUUUUUGCUCAAGUCAACACGUGAACGGCACAGGCUGCUAGACAUUCAAAGGCUGCUGCUAGGACUUUCCAAAACAGUAAAACAGAAAAGAGGCAAUUAAACAUUGAAAUUCCAGAUUUCAAUCCAACUUCUCUUAGCUCCUCUCUGGUUUUAGAGUAUUUAUGUUUUAAAUAUUUGAUUCCCAAUUAAUUUGGCUUGCCUCUGCAGAAAGCAAUGGAUAUAUUCAUGAUUCAAGUUUAUCCAAGAAUAUAGUGAACACAGUCUUAUGCAAAAAAUAUAACCACAGAUGGAGAGAUAUGAAAAAGCUACCUGAAACCUGCUGCUUUUUUUCCUACAAACUUAUGCUACCAGUGAAGUCUCCAAACUAAUUAGAAUUGAUUUAUUAUGGAUCAGGUACCUUAUCAGGUGAAGAAAGAAAUUACCAUGGACAGUCAAAGGGUUGAGAGGUCAAUACAGAAUAGCAAAAUCAAUUUGCAUUGAUUAGACAAAAGGUCCAUUUUACAGAGCCCAAAGGAUUAACUUUUAAGCAAACAUCUUUGAACUAUAAGACAGCAUUUGUGACUGAGAGGUAUAAGCAGUGCAGCAUUAGAAAACACUUAAGAUAUUUAAAUAAGAAAAUAAUGCAAGCAAUGGUUUAAGCUAUCUGGAUGUUUAUUUUUUAUUAUGAAUCAUCCCCAGGAUUAUUGUACAAUUCACUUGAAAGCCCUACGGAAAGGAUGCAAUUGUUUCAUUUAUCCCGUGUGUCAAUCUUCCCAUGAGUUUUCAUUCAGGUAAGGUGACUAAACUUGGGAGACUUGCAGAGGAGGGAGAAAAUCUGUGCAAAGGAUCUCACUAAUCCCAGUGCUGCUUGUGAUGAAAUAUUUACUUGGCAAAUGUAGUAUUUUACCAUCAAAACUGCUGAGACUUUCCCCCCCCCCCCCCCGCCCCCGCAGUGAGAUACUGUUGUAAACUAGAUCUGAAACGCUAAAUGGAAGAAGGCUCCCGUCGGUGGGUCACCCUUUCCAUUUUCUGCAGCACCCAAAGCAGCGCGAUGCCACAGAAAAGCCCAGAGAGAAUUACUGCAACAAAAAAUAAUAAACUCCAGAUAAAUAUUCUUCACCUCCCUAUCACUUUUUUCAAUGUUUAUUCGAAGGAGACCACAUUUCUUUGUCCCAUAUCUUGGACUUCUUUUUUUUUUUUUGAAUAAAACUUAAGAAUGGGCUCGCAGACCUAGUGUAUUUGCUGUGUGCUAGCACUUGAAAUUAUGUGAACAUCACGAUUAAUUCUUAACUUCAGAAAAGCCUCCAUGUUUGGUACUUUAAGGCAGGAAGCGUUUUCCUUCCCUCGGUACCCAGCAUUUCUCUUACCUUCAAUAGCAAGCAUUGCUCUUAGCUCCCGGUUCAACAGUUCGUAGCGCCUUUCUAGGUCAUGUUCUUUUUCCCUAGGCAAGUUGCAAAAGUUCAUCAAUAUGUUAAUUACUAAAUCAUUAAACACUUAAAAGAAGCUUUAACUUACAUUGAUUUUAGGACUUUUCUCUUUAACUUUAAGCUACUCCAAACAAAUGAUACACAAACUUAAAACCUCACUCAGGUGGUAUAUUCAGUACCAGGGACUUUUCAUUUUCUAGAAUGUUGGCUUUAAUUCUGUUAGUUUAACUCUAUUGUGCUACAGGACAUAAUUAUUUCACAUUCAUCUUUGGAGCGGCUGUUGUGGAAUGUCCUAAGUAUAAAAUAUUCCUCUGGAUCUAAUGAACAAAUUCCAGCAUCAGCCUAUUCACCAAGAUAAUAUGAUACUGGAAGUAUUGUUCUAUAUACAUUCUGCCCUAAUGAAUAAAGAAAAUUAGACACAGGAUUAGAAAGCUUAAUAUUUUGAAGGUAGAAUCCUCUGUCAAGUUCAGACACGGCCAGAAAUUCGUAAGCACAGGGAAGUAUGCAGACUUCUACACUAGGUGGCAUUACUGAAAGAAAUAUAUUCAGACUGAAAGAAGCCGGAAAGAAGCGCUGAGGGCAGAACGCCUCAGAAAACGAGCAGCGUCUUCUCUCUUCCUUGCUAGUGCUAGUGGAAAAAGUUUAUUUGUCCUUACGUUGUAGUAUCAGUGGUGUCAUUGCCCCGUGACUGAUUCACUAACAUCCUUUCAGCAGUCCGCUGCUGCUGAACUAGCGAUGGGAUUGAGGAUUCCUAGGAAGCAGCUCUGGCUAAUCUUGUGUCAUUGCACACUUCUAAUUUUCAAGUCUGAAAUAUGAGAAAAACAAGUUACUCGAUGUGUUCCACAAAUCAUCCAUGCUACUGCCUUUCAAGAGAACAUUUUUGAAGUCUAAUGGGAAGAAAACAAAAAAGUUUUGCAUCUGUCUGCUAGGUAAAUAUCCCAGCAAAUCAUCCUUUUGUAAGUACACGUAUCCAUCCAUACUUACAGGAGAGAAAGUUGGUUCAUUCGUCUUAUUAAGGCAUUCUUCUUAUUAACCAGCAUGAACCAUUCCUGCAUCAUAGCUUCUUCUUCUUCUGUGUUUCUUCCUGCAAUUGAGAUAAUUUCACUAUUUAUAUGGCAUUUCACAAACUGAGCUACAUAUUUCAAUUCAUGUUUUGGAGUAUCGGUCUGCAAUAUCAUUGAGCACUACAAGGCAUACACUCAAACAGAAAAAAUUUCAUAUGACUACAAGUCCUACAGCCCAACCCUAUUUGCUCCGUAAAUAAAACUUGAAAAGCAGACGUUAUUCAGCAUACGUUUUCAUGUUCUUUACCAUGCUGAUACCGCAACCUAAAUAAACACCUUUCAGAAA